rnacentral:rRNA from 1 species
GAUGAACGCUAGCGGGAGGCUUAACACAUGCAAGUCGAGGGGCAUCACGAGGUAGCAAUACUUUGGUGGCGACCGGCGCACGGAUGAGUAACACGUAUGCAACCUUCCCUGUACAGGGGGAUAACCCGGAGAAAUUCGGACUAAUACCCCAUGAUGAUAUUUAUGGGCAUCCUUUAAUAUUUAAAGCUCUGGCGGUACAGGAUGGGCAUGCGCGACAUUAGCUAGUUGGUAAGGUAACGGCUUACCAAGGCGACGAUGUUUAGGGGACCUGAGAGGGUUGUCCCCCACACUGGUACUGAGACACGGACCAGACUCCUACGGGAGGCAGCAGUGAGGAAUAUUGGUCAAUGGGCGCAAGCCUGAACCAGCCAUCCCGCGUGAAGGAAAAUGCGCUACGCGUUUGUAAACUUCUUUUACCGAGGGGAGAAUAAUCCUGUCGUGACAGGACUUGACGGUACUCUGGGAAUAAGCAAUCGGCUAACUCCGUGCCAGCAGCCGCGGUAAGCAACG